AUGUUUGUGGAUGGGGGAGCGGCCGUGACCCUGCUAGAGUCUGGGGGGGACCUCCAGCCCCCCGGGGGGUCCCUGCGCCUCCUCUGCCGUGGCUCCAGGUUCAAUUUUGGACAAUUUGCCAUGCACUGGGUCCGCCAGAGACCCGGGAAGGCGCUGGAAUACGUUGCAAGUAUCAACAACGAUGGUGGCAACACCUGGUACCCGCCAUCGGUCAAGGGCCGGUUCAGGAUCUCCAGGGACAACGGGCAGAGCUCGGUGACGCUGACCAUGAGCAGCCUCAGGGACGAGGAUUCCGCCGUCUAUUUCUGUGCCAAAUCUGCUGAUGCUAAUAUUGCUGGCGCUGCUGUUGUCACUGCAAAAUAG